UCUCAUGGAGAAGACGUCAUUGUAAUGUAACUCAUGAUCUGUAUUUAGAGCAAUAAAAAUAUGUGAAGUACAAGUUUCCAUUAUAGUACAAGUGACGAGUACAAUUUUGAUCGAUGUUAAGAAAAGUAUAGUAAUAAUCUAUCUAAUAGAUAACAACUUGUCAAGUACCAAACUUAAAAGAUAUGUGUUCUCUCUAUUUUUCUCCUUCAAGGAAUGUGUUAAUCCAAACAGAACCUCUUGUAUUAGAAUCUGCAGCCAUAGUCAUGUGUUUUGCAGAAUUUUGAUUUGUUGCCGAGUGCAGUAGUCGACCACUUGUUAUUUUUUACCGAAAGAAAAUCAACUUGUUUCAUUCAUCGAAGCAUUCGCGCAAUAUGGGAUGGAGAUAACAUUAGAAACAGAUAUAAUAGCACCAAAUUCAGUUUGAGAAUUGGGAUUAUCGAUGACACCGUGUACAACUAGUUUACUAUGAAUAGGUUAGUAUAACCCAAGUUCCUAAUCCAAUGUAGUGCUUCCUUCAACCUCCAAGCUUUGGUUUCAUGAGGUAGAGGGCUACCUCUACUCCAUAUUGUUUCUGCUCUAAUAAAGUUUCUAUGAUCGUCUUCAAUAUACAUUCACAAAGUUAUAUAAUUGAACUUGGGGAAACCAUAGUAAUAAAUAGAAAAAAAAAGAAAGAAACAAAACCAUUUCCUUUAUCAAUCAACCAUAAACUUGCCUCCUCCCAAAUCUCUUUGCUUUGCUACACCUAACAAAAAUAAAUGUGUCAUUCAUUCUCAAAACUAAUUUGGCAAUACC